GAUGUGAAUAAGAGACAUUGUGCCCCUUGUUAAGGAGAAACCAAAAACGUUUGCCAAUGGAACAGAGAUCACCCAUGCUGUUGUCAUCAAGAAACUGAAUGAGAUCCUGCAGACAUGAGGCAAGAAGGGACCUGAUCAAGGAGCCUAGAUUAAGCUGUGGCUGCUAGUUCUGUUUGCAUCUGAAAACAACCUGGGGGAGGGUGUCAUAGUCAAGAUCAAGUUCAGUAUCAUUGCCUCUCUCUAUGAUUACAAUCGAACCUGGCCACGUACAUUAAACCUGAGAUGUGGCAGAAGUACCUGGGCUGCAUCAAUGAGCAUCAGCUCAUCAGGACAUCCUGUUUGCAAACCCCAACAUCUUUGUUGGAGAGAACAUUCCGGAGGAGAGUGAGAACCUGCACAAUGUUGACCAGCUACUGCGUGUCUGUGGCUGUAUCCUAACCCUGGUGGAAGGAAUGGAUGA